UACGGGGGGGGCAAGCGUUGUUCGGAAUCACUGGGCGUAAAGGGAGCGUAGGCGGGCUCUUAAGUUGGAUGUUUAAAACCGGGGCCCAACCCCGGCGUGGCAUCCAAAACUGGGAGUCUUGAAUGGAACAGAGGCUAGUGGAAUUGGAGGUGUAGCGGUGGAAUGCGUAGAGAUCUCCAAGAACACCCGUUGCGAAGGCGGCUAGCUGGGUUCACAUUGACGCUGAGGCUCGAAAGCGUGGGGAGCAAACAGG
rnacentral:rRNA from 1 species